UACAGGAGGGUGCAAGCGUUAUCCGGAUUCACUGGGUUUAAAGGGUGCGUAGGCGGGUAAGUAAGUCCGUGGUGAAAUCUCUGAGCUUAACUCAGAAACUGCCGUGGAUACUAUUUGCCUUGAAUAUUGUGGAGGUGAGCGGAAUAUGUCAUGUAGCGGUGAAAUGCUUAGAUAUGACAUAGAACACCAAUUGCGAAGGCAGCUCACUACACAAUCAUUGACGCUGAGGCACGAAAGCGUGGGGAUCAAACAGG
rnacentral:rRNA from 1 species